rnacentral:rRNA from 1 species
CGCCCGUAGAGACUAAACGUUGAUGUUCUCGCAAGAGAAUGUGAUAUAGUCCGAUCCCUUCAGGAAUGAAGGUUCAGCACGCACUUUAUAGUAGAUAUUAAGUGCGACCGCGGAAGUAAAACCAAAUGCGUGAGACAGGUUGGUCUCCUAUCUACUGCGCUCGUUGAUUCUUGAGAAGAGUCGUUCCUAGUACGAGAGGACCGGAAUGAACUAACCUCUGGUGUGUCGGCUGUCCUGCCAAGGGCACUGCCGAGUAGCUAUGUUGGGAAUGGAUAACCUCUGAAAGCAUCUAAGAGGGAAGCCAGCUUCAAGAUAAGGAAUCGUUAUAGAACCCUGAGAGAUGAUCAGGUUGAUAGGCACUAGGUGUACGCGCAGCAAUGCGUUCAGCCGAGGUGUACUAAUUAUUCGAUUCCUAUUAGGAA